AUCCUUUUGUGGUUCAUAAGCUUGAUGAUUGCGUUUCCACAUCCACAUGUGAGAUGUGCCUCGCUCAAGCCUUGUUACAACAUCAGCACAUUACCUGCCUGAUG
ensembl:snoRNA